CGAACUCUGGCGGCGUGCCUAAUACAUGCAAGUUGAGCGCUGAAGGUUGGUACUUGUACCGACUGGAUGAGCAGCGAACGGGUGAGUAACGCGUGGGGAAUCUGCCUUUGAGCGGGGGACAACAUUUGGAAACGAAUGCUAAUACCGCAUAAAAACUUUAAACACAAGUUUUAAGUUUGAAAGAUGCAAUUGCAUCACUCAAAGAUGAUCCCGCGUUGUAUUAGCUAGUUGGUGAGGUAAAGGCUCACCAAGGCGAUGAUACAUAGCCGACCUGAGAGGGUGAUGGGCCACAUUGGGACUGAGACACGGCCCAAACUCCUACGGGAGGCAGCAGUAGGGAAUCUUCGGCAAUGGACGAAAGUCUGACCGAGCAACGCCGCGUGAGUGAAGAAGGUUUUCGGAUCGUAAAACUCUGUUGGUAGAGAAGAACGUUGGUGAGAGUGGAAAGCUCAUCAAGUGACGGUAACUACCCAGAAAGGGACGGCUAACUACGUG
rnacentral:rRNA from 1 species